AAUACAAGCGCUUUGUGUGUGCUGUAAUGGCAGCACGAGCGCUGAACAGAUCGCAGAAGCAGACGACAACGAACAGGCUAUAACUAGCGCCACUUUGCUCGUACGUUCUGUCCCUAACGGUAAAAGGGGCGAACUAGAACAGGCGUGCUGAAGCAGGGAGAUCUGUGCGGAUCUGUUUCUUUAUUGUAUGUCGUGGUCCUGGCAUCGUAGUUUACAUCGUAGGUUACACAGUUUACAAGGGGUAGCACACUCUCAAGUUCAACAAAUGGCCACAGAGGGCGAAAAAAUCGACCGCGCGCCGCUGCUAACAAAACCAGCGUAGUAGAAUCACUUCGGGAUGCUUUUGUUAGUUCCAACAUUUCCCGGUAGAGGCGUCGUAGUAAGCGCAAUUUUAUCUGACAAUCUUUUUCUUACAAUUACCGAAACAUUUUCUUUUACAUAAAAACAGGGCAAAAUUAUCAUUGCUAAUUAGAUAUUGUACUCUUUGUUAGUAAGUUUAUUGUUUCUUCGCCAUUAUAAACGCAAAUAGCGUUCAGCAUCAUCGAUCUUUCACGUGACCUCUGGCCUGGAUUUAAAAUUUUUACCGGUAUUUCCGAGUGCACGGCGGCACGGAUUCAUUCGUUCGUACACUCAAGACUGGUUGGUUCUUUGUUUCUAAAACUAGUUUCUUGCGCUUUGAUGUCUCGCGUUAUUUAACUUGGGGUGAAGUUACGUGUUUGCAAGCGGACAUGUAAGCCCGGCAGUUGGGUUUCGGUCGUGAGCCAUUCGGAACAGGUCUGCAUCGAAACGGGAGCUGGAUUUUGCUGCGGCUGACAACGGCAAUAACGACAUGCAGUAAUGAGGACGGCACCAGUAUAAAGCAACACACUCCACGCACUAAACAGAAGCUGCUGCCUGCUACAACAAGGUCAUUGUGUGGACAAUGGCUACUACUACAAGGUAAACAACACAUGGUUCAGAAAUACAUAUGUUUGAUAUAUGCUGUAUUGGCUUGCUGUUUGCAGCAGAUAUGAAUGUUUGUUCAUAUUUAUGGUUCAGUAUAAUUGGUUCGAACAUAUAAAACACACAUAAAUUUGGCUAAUCUGUGCUGUAUCUCAUGUGUCACCGUUUUGCCCCAACAGAGUCUAUGCCAAGCACAUCUUGGUCAUCACAGGAGCUCCUAUCUGCGCCAACAGGAAGGGGCUGGAGCCGAAUUUGCAAGGCUUUUACACCAAGAACAAAGAAGCACAAGCAGAAGAAUAUGAAUGAGAUAUCAAGUCUGCAGAGGACUGUGUCAAGACUGAAAAGAGCUUCAGCCACCAUUCCACCAGCACGGACAUUUGGCUGAGUCAUCCAGGUAACUCAAAAAGGACUUUCUAGAAAUUCUUCGUCUUCAGAUGCACCUGCAACAUCUGACCAAGCACGGACGACGCUGGCCAAAAGAUCGAGUUCCAUCAGUUUGCCUUUAAUCAGCUUCCUAGCCAUGUUAAUUCCGUCUGUGCCAAGUGUAAUUUUUCUUCUAUAAAUGCAAGCUUUCUCAUUGCCCAUUUUUGUUAGAGAUCAUUCAUCCUCAUCCAAAUAUAAAGGUCAACCAAUUCUUCGCUGAUACUUAAUACCAGUCACUGUCUAGCAGCCUAACAUAUCUGUAGCAGUAUCUUCUAGUGUAUGUUGUCAUGCGCAAUUCCUCUCCUGAAAUAGCUGAUGUAGCAUCGGCAUGCGUCUUGCAUUAACCUAUGCACAUGUGCUAUGCACCAUUUUACUUUUCUUGAUGUUUUUAGCCUUCAAUGCUUGCAGAGCAGAGUGGCUUCUCUCUUGAAUGCAAGCUUUCUCAUUUUCCAUAUUCCUAGUCUCGUUGAUGAUUGCUCCUCUUCCUUGAUAGCCUGGGUCUUUGUGCAAGCUACACUGAAGUGAUUGAUUGCAGAAUCUGGUUUUGCUGUCACACUUGGUUGUGGUAACUGUGUUACGUUUCUCAGAUGUGGGGGCCUGGUCAGUUGCAUUGGUGAGCAGUCCCUCGAGGUAAGCAUUUGCUACUGCAGUCCGCAAAGCGACAUAGACUCCCAGUAUACACACACCGUAACUGGUGCGCCCCGUUUGUUCUGGCCUGCUGCAGCCAUGGGCAAAUUGUGCUUGUGGCCUACCUCGGCCAUGAUUUGCUCAAAACGGAGACCGGCAUAUGUGCUUACAUGGUUCGAAGUGUAUGAAGUUGAUAGCCGUAUGGGUGGAAAGGCCCGCAAGAAUGGCUGCUGAAGGUGAUGCCCACAAAAGCGACUUGUCCACAUUGCGACAAAGUGGGACACAAAGUGUGAGCCACACAUAGCGGCCCCCGAAAGAAAAUAAAUGUGCAGGUUGGAAAGGAGUUAACGCUAAAAUGCCGGGUAGUCCAUGUCGCUGUGUUGGUUGUGGCAGCAGAUGCCUGCGUCACCUGAUUGCUUUGCAAUGGAAGUUGCUCAUCUUCAACGGCAACUGUUGGUUCAAACAGGUGCGAGGCUCUGUCUAAUCUGUUUGUACGCAGGUUGUCGCUCGUUACCAGACCACCACAUGCGACAAAGGCAAGCAUUAUGCCUGUAAGAUGGUUCGUAGCCAAUGUAUAAUGUAUUGUCUGAACCUCAUGCGGUGACUGAUUGCUGUUUAAUUUUGCUGUUAUGUUACUUGGUUACGGUCGCAUUUUAUGUUUUUCGAAUAUUGCGGCCUGGUCGGUUGCACAGGGAAGCAGCCUCUCGUAGUAAGCAUUUGAUCCUGCAGUCUGCACAGCGACAUAGACUCCCAAUUUACGCACACCGUGAUUCGUGCUCCCCGUUCACCCUUUCCUGCUGCAGCCAUGGGCAAAUUGUGCCUCUGGCCUUUCUCGGCCGCGAUUAGGCAUGAACGGAGACCAGCAUAAGUGCUUACAUGGCCGGACGUGUAUGAAGUUGGGUGGAAAGGCCCGCAAAAGUAGCUGAUGGAGGCGAUGCCCACGAAAGCGACUUGUCCAUAGUGAGACAAUGUGAGACACCAAGUGUGAGCCACACAUUAGCGGCCCCCGAAAGAAAAGAAACGUGCAGGUUGGAAAGGAGUGAACGGCUAAAAUCUGGGGUAGCCCAUGUCGCUGUGUAGGCUGCGGCAGCAGAUGCCUGCGUCUCCCGAUUGCUUCGCAAUGCAAUUUGGGCAUUUUUAACGGCGACUGUCGCUGCAAACAAGUGGCAUACUCUGUCCAAUAUGUUUCCGCUGCUGGUUGUUGCUCGUUAACCUGACCACCACGUUCGACGACGACGGUGAGCCGUUUACGAGCUCGCGUCAAUGAUUCCAGCGUAUCUCGACAUGCAAAUUUUAUUUCUGCUAUUGCACGAGAAUGUACACUGCUUGUCUUCUGGCAAUAAAGUCGCGCGUUCUGUUCACUCA